AUUAUUUUUUUGUCACUUUUUAGCAAUCAUAUUUUGCUCUUGCAAAAAAGUGUCAGCAAUACAAAAAGCUAA